CUCCCCUCACUCCCCACACACAUUUUUCCCCAAAACUAUCAUUGAAUAAAUUGCAUGCACAAUUCCCCUGUCCCUCAUUACUCCUCGUACUUUCUUUCUUUUUUCUUUUCUUUUUUUUAUUUUGAGACGAAGUCUCACUCUGUUGCCCAAGCUGGAGUGCAGUGGCAAGAUCUCAGCUCACUGCAACCUGCACCUCCCGGGUUCAAGCAAUUCUCCUGCCUGAGCCUCCCCUGUAGCUGGGAAUACAGGGCAUGUGCCACCAUGCCCGGCUAAUUUUUGUGUUUUUAGUAGAGACGGGGUUUCACUAUUGGUCAGGCUGGUCUCAAACUCCCGACCUCAGGUGAUCCGCCCACCUCAGCCUCCCAAAGUGCUGGGAUUAUAGGUGUAAGCCACCGUGCCCGGCCUGGGGAGGCACUUUUGAGACUACGUACAAAUCUUGUUUUUAAUCACAUUUUUGCUUAUUAAUUUUAGUAAUGAUUAUUCUGGCCUGAAACAAUUAUAACUUUGGUGGUUGACAAAUAGUGAUAUAUAUCGUUUUUUGUUUUUAUUUGAUAUGGAGUCCUGCUCUGUUGACCAGGCUGGAGUGCAAUGGCACGAUUUUGGCUCACUGCGACCUCCACCUCCCCAGUUCAAGACAGCUGUAAAACUUGUUUAAUGUAUUUUUUGAAAAUGUUUCUAAAAGAUAAAAAAUGUUUUUACCUGGAAAUCGAGUAAACAAGUUAUUUGUAUUUGUAAGAAAGCCUAUGGAAUGUCUCAUAAAGAUCUAUUCUGGCCAGACAUAGUGGCUCACACUUUGUAAUCCCAGCACCUUGGGAGGCCAAGGCAGGUGGAUCACCUAAGAUCAGGAGUUCGAGACCAGCCUGGCCAUGGCAGAACCCCAUCUCUGCUAGAAAUAAAAAAAAUUAGCCAGGUGUGGUGUUGGGUGCCUAUAAUCCCAGCUACUCAGGAGGCUGAGGCAGGAGAAUCGCUUGAACCUGGGAGGCAAAGGUUGCAGUUGCACUGAGCCGAGAUAGAGCCACUGCACUUCAGCCUGGGCGACAGUGUGAGAUUCUCUAAAAAAAAAAAGAAAGAAAAGAAAAAUAAAAAACAGAAAAAAAGGCUAUACUAAGACCCGGCUUCUGAAGGCAAGAUUUUGCAAUUACAGAUAAUCAGUAAUGAAUAAACCUACACAUACGUAUUUUCAUGUUGUUGAGGUGUAUGUUCAGGGUCAAUUCCUAGAAGUAGGAUUGCUCAAUAGAAGCAUAGAUGCAUAUGUGGGGUUUUUUUUGUUUGGUUGUUUUGUUGUUUUGUUUUUUUGCUUCUGAGAUGGAGUCUCAUUCUGCUGUCCAGGCUGCAGUGCAGUGGCACAAUCUCGGUUCAAGGCAACCUCCACCUCCUGAGCUCAAGCCAUCCUUCCACCUCAGCCUCCCAAGUAGCUGGAAUUACAGGCGCACACUACCAUGCCCAGCUAGUUUUUGUACUUUCAGUAGAGACAGAGUUUUGCCAUGUUGGCCAGGCUGGUCUCGAACUCCUGGGCUUCGGCGAUCUUCCUGCCUCCCAAAGUGCUAAGAUUACAAGGCGUGAGUCACUACGCCUGGCCUCAUUUUUCCUUUCUAUUUUUUUUCUAAUUUAAGGUGACUUUUCACUUUCUCACAUGCUUUUUGAAAGACAUUUUUCUUUUCCUUUAGCUUUGUAGGUUUUUGGGGAGGCUUUUCAACAGCAGAAAAACCUUUAAUUUCCUGACUUUUGCAAUAAUUUUGUAUGGAUGUUGGCUACUUUAUUCCAAAUCAUUCAAUUCAUAAAAUUCUUUUUUUUGAGACGGAGUCUCGCUCUCUCGCCCAGGCUGGAGUGCAACGGCCCGAUCUCGGCUCACUGCAAGCUCCGCCUCCNNNNNNNNNNNNNNNNNNNNNNNNNNNNNNNNNNNNNNNNNNNNNNNNNNNNNNNNNNNNNNNNNNNNNNNNNNNNNNNNNNNNNNNNNNNNNNNNNNNNNNNNNNNNNNNNNNNNNNNNNNNNNNNNGCUGGGAUUACAGGCGUGAGCCACCACGCCCGGCCCAAUUCAUAAAAUUCUUGAGGGGCCUUGUCAGUUCUGCCCUCUUUUGUGCAAUUUAAAGAUAUUUGUUGAUGGGGUGGGGGAAAAACUUGGCAUUUUCUCUUCUCUUUUUUUUCAAUUCCCUCUUUUCCUUUCACCACCCUUCCUUAUAACUGAUUCUCUCCCAGAAACACUUUCUAUGAGUCUGCCACUCCUGGUACCACACAUUUUUAAGGCUGUGUCCCAAAGACAGGGCUGUGAUCUACCAAGUACUAACCUGUGUUCAGUAUUUUACACUUGUUAUUUCACAUUUUCCCCCCUGGAGAUUGUGUCUGUGCUUCCUCUAAGUCCUAAACUCCAUUCUGCUUUGUCCAUAUAAUGCUUUAACCUCCCUUUCCUCACUCUCCACACCCACAGGCUUAUGGUGGUGGCAGGAUCCCUGUUGCAAACCUUUUCUUCUACUUACAGGUAAUUUGAAGUUGCAGUAUUCUGCCCUGUGUAAUUUUUAUUUGUCCUACUUGAUUUUAUGGUUGUUUUGGGAGAGUGAGGGACAGAUUUACAAUGAGGUUAACGCUAUUGUUCUCCGGCCCCAGAAGUCUCUGCAUGCUUUUCUUUUUUGUU
rnacentral:lncRNA from 1 species